AACGAAUGCUGGCGGCAGGCUUAACACAUGCAAGUCGGGCGCCCCGCAAGGGGAGCGGCAGACGGGUGAGUAACGCGUGGGAACGUACCUUUUGGUUCGGAACAACUCCGGGAAACUGGAGCUAAUACCGGAUAAGCCCUAACGGGGAAAGAUUUAUCGCCGAAAGAUCGGCCCGCGUCUGAUUAGCUAGUUGGUGAGGUAACGGCUCACCAAGGCGACGAUCAGUAGCUGGUCUGAGAGGAUGAUCAGCCACACUGGGACUGAGACACGGCCCAGACUCCUACGGGAGGCAGCAGUGGGGAAUAUUGGACAAUGGGCGCAAGCCUGAUCCAGCCAUGCCGCGUGAGUGAUGAAGGCCUUAGGGUUGUAAAGCUCUUUUGUCCGGGAAGAUAAUGACUGUACCGGAAGAAUAAGCCCCGGCUAACUUCGUG
rnacentral:rRNA from 1 species